UGAUAGCCAUAAAUUAUUGACCACCAUUUGGUUUAAUAUUGUGGCUAGAGAGUUGCUACUCACCACAAAGCUCAUCUGCUGCCCUACAUUCUACAAUUCCCAUGUAAUUAGUUUAUAGUCACAUGACUAUUUCUGGCCAAUGAACUGUGAACAAUAAUAUGUAAUGUGUAUCACUUCUAGGUCAAGACAGUUAAGUGUACGUGUUCUCCUUUCAUUCUUCCUUUCUCCUUGCUGCAGUGACUUUGGGAGCUGUAUGCUGAAAUAGGGACAUUGAAAGAUGAGGAAAUUAUGGAUCUCCAAGUCACUAGAUGGAAGACAGCACGUCAAAAACUUUAUAAGGAAGAAACGUGGAAUAAAAUGUUGGGAAAUGUGAAGAGAGAUGUUUCAGCAACUAGAUCUCUUUUGGUUCGUAUCCAUAGUUGCAUUCUCCUUUAAAACCUCAGGGAUCUUCCUGUCGAGUAAUUUUUCUCAGAAAUGCUGCUGCUGCCCUGUUCUGUGGAAAUUCCUUUGCCACUUCAGGACCGCUGACCUGCUGCCUUCCUUGCUUAGAACUUUCCUGCUACCGCAGCCCUCUUUGGUUGCUAUGCAACCAGUCCCGAGAGGCGGUUUUACUGUGCAUGUGCUUUCCCUCACAUGGAUGAUUUGUUUUACUGUUUUUUAUUUGUUUUUACCACAAUUUGAAUCUCAUUUUUUCCCAACAUUCUCAACUGUAACCCUGAAUCUUGAGUUUUGACAAACUAUUAUAGUAUACAAGGCCUUAGAUUUUUACGCUUGAUUUCUAUCUGAUUUCUUCUUUAGGAAGCCUUUUUUUUUUUUUUUUUGAUGUCUCCCAGGAUUUUUUUUUUUAAUUAUUAAAUGUUGGCAUGAGUCUCAUGGACAACCAGUUAAGACUUCUCAAUCUUACAUUUUUUCACUACGCAAUGUUCAUUUUUGACCUGAUUAUUUAAUUGUAGAUUGCAUUAUAAGCACUAAAACAAUUACAUUUAAGAAUCACACAUAACUUACUGACUUUUCCUCUAGAUUUUACACCAUAUUCUGGAAUUUUUCCACACUUAAGGUCAAAAGCUCAAUGAUAAAAUUGCACUCAUUAGUAACUCUUCUUCCUUCAAACAUAAAACUAGCUACAAGUUGUGUGUGGUCAUUUGAGAAACUGCACUAAACAAUUAAAUAUGUUAAAAGCUAAAAUUAUUUGUAUUCCCCCCCAA
rnacentral:lncRNA from 10 species